AUAAACAUUUUUAUGACGAAAAAUGAAAAAAAAUGUUAAUUAUUUUUGAAAUUGUAAAGAAAUUUAAACCCAAUUAAAUCCUUCACCUGGUCGUGUUCUUUCUUCGUCUCCCUCAAUUCAUUCUAAUGGGUCUUGUGGAAUGAGGAGUGAAGGUUAUAGAGCAAAUUCGAGGUGAGACAGAAGAAUGGUCCCAGAUGCAAGACAUGUUGGUGUUGGUAAGGGAUGAGAUGGAAGAACUUGAUGCAUCUCGUGAUCUUUGGGAAGCAGAUUCAAUCUCUGCAAUUUGCUGUAAAAGAAUGAAGACAAAAAGUAGCGUCGUGGGAGUUAGAGGCACAAAUCUAUAUGGAGAUUAGGCAGGGAAGAGAUAGAAAAACAGGGAGUUGCCAAAUUGCAUCACCCAUCAAUCAAGAAGCACAAAAUGAAACAGAGAAGAGGGUGCUUGUGUGUCACUUGAAGGAUC